rnacentral:rRNA from 1 species
UACGUAGGGUGCAAGCGUUAAUCGGAAUUACUGGGCGUAAAGCGUGCGCAGGCGGUUAUGUAAGACAGGUGUGAAAUCCCCGGGCUUAACCUGGGAACUGCAUUUGUGACUGCAUAGCUAGAGUAUGGUAGAGGGGGAUGGAAUUCCGCGUGUAGCAGUGAAAUGCGUAGAUAUGUGGAGGAACACCGAUGGCGAAGGCAGCCCCCUGGGUCAAGACUGACGCUCAUGCACGAAAGCGUGGGGAGCAAACAGG